rnacentral:rRNA from 1 species
CCUACGGGAGGCAGCAGUGGGGAAUCUUGCGCAAUGGGCGAAAGCCUGACGCAGCAACGCCGCGUGCGGGAAGAAGGCUUUCGGGCUGUAAACCGCUUUCAGCAGGAACGAAAAUGACGGUACCUGCAGAAGAAGGAGCGGCCAACUAUGUGCCAGCAGCCGCGGUGAUACAUAGGCUUCAAGCGUUGUCCGGAUUUAUUGGGCGUAAAGAGUUCGUAGGCGGUCGAGUAAGUCGGGUGUGAAAAUUCUGGGCUCAACCCAGAGACGCCACCCGAUACUGCUUGACUUGAGUUCGAUAGGGGAGUGGGGAAUUCCUAGUGUAGCGGCGAAAUGCGCAGAUAUUAGGAGGAACACCGGUGGCGAAGGCGCCACUCUGGAUCGAUACUGACGCUGAGGAACGAAAGCAUGGGUAGCAAACAGGAUUAGAUACCCUGGUAGUCCAUGCCGUAAACGGUGGGCACUAGGUGUGGGUUUCUAUUAACGAAAUCCGCGCCGUCGCUAACGCAUUAAGUGCCCCGCCUGGGGGAGGUACGGUCGCGAGACGUAGAACGUACGAAAGGUAAAGUUAGUACGGCGUUGUAGACGUUGCCGACGGCGACGACGAGGGAGGAGG